GUCGGAGUACCUAUUUCAGAAUACGAAUACGAGAUUAAUACAAAGCGUUUUGAACGAGAACUUCGAAUUAAAAUCCUAGUUUCCCGGGUUUCUAGUGAGUGUACGAGGAAUGAGACGUUCGAAGGUCCAAUUACCCUAUUCGGAUGAUGGAAUAGCCUCGGGAGACACUCGAUCAAUCGGGCGGUCAAACUUCCCAACUCAACCAGGCCCACGGGACCCACGACCUCUGUUUUACAAUCCGAAAGUUCCUAAAGGUUUC
rnacentral:lncRNA from 1 species